CAAACGGUUUCUCUAGAAACCAACCAAUUUAUUUAUCUCUACUACG
rfam:Oryza sativa Japonica Group DNA, chromosome 3, cultivar: Nipponbare, complete sequence.